GGGCGAGUGGCGGAAUCGGCAGACGCUGGGGACUUAAAAUCCCCUGGGGGCGACCCCGUGCGGGUUCGAGUCCCGCCUCGCCCA
rnacentral:tRNA from 1 species